ACAGACGGUGGAGCUGUCUCCAGGUUGGUCUGACAUUCCUGACUCUCCUUUUCCCUCUGCUGCUAGCUCCUUCCCUGAUGGCCUUCCUCUGUUCCCCCGGAGGGAGGAGGCUUAUUUAUGUUGCAGAUUCAAGACUUCGCUGUCCAGGACGAACCCAUGCUCCGUGUUUACAGAACGAGCAAGCCGGAGCGCCGCGUCCCUUUGAAUUGGAGACGAUGUUCACAGGCUUUUCUCUUUUUCCCCCCUUUGAGAACAAUUUCUCUUCUUAGAAACUCGAGGCUUUCCUUUUUCUCCCUUCAGACUUUAAAAACUCCUUUACUCUAAGGAGAAUAAAAUUGUUUGACCAAACUUACUUCCCUAGCAAUUUCAGAGGCGUCGGGCGGUGAACACCGACAGCGCCUUUCUUCCCCUCUUCAAUUGCCCCCAGGGAAAUGGCACAGGUGAGCAGCUGGCCUGUGGUGGGACACACAGCCGGGUUGCCUGGUGUGGUGAUUAGUGCCCUCUGUUGGGUAAAAUUGGGUUUGCUCUAAUCGGCUAGAUCAUCUUGCCCUCUAGUGGUCAGAAAAAAAACACUGGAAACGCCGAAGGAUCAGGGCCAGUAUUUCUUCCAUGUUUGUGAAAUACAAAAAAUUCCAACCGAAACCAUGGCGUGACAGCAACUCUAACUUAAGAUGCAACUUACAGUGAUUGCGUCUCCACGUUCAUUUGUGGACAGGCCAAUAGGAUCGUGAGCGUUAAACUGAUCUGCUGUCUGGCAAGAAAUAACACAGUUCAACUUAGGUGCGUGUUUUAUGGGUGGAGGAUGGAUCCCAUGGCCGUUUGCAAACUAAGCCUGUGCUUUGCCGCAGAGCUGUGUGUCCCGGGACAGCAUCCCGUUUUGUUGAAUAAAAAAAAAAAAAGACCAUUUAAAAAUUUUUUCUUAAGUGAUCCAUGAAAAGAUAGAACUGUACCUAUCCAUGGAAUGUCAGCUUACGUUGCAAUAUGCGUGCACAUCAUGUAAGACAAAAACCAGCCACCUUUAUUUCCUCAAACAGUUCUAAUUUCUUCUUUCGUGUCCCUGGUGAAAGUUAAUAUUAAAUUCUUACUGUGUACUACGAACUAUAUUUCUUUCACCCUUUAUCCAUCGUGUGGCCGCCAGUCCACGAUGAAAUCUUGGUGUCGGGAUCACACUGAAGAAGUAGGCGGCGUGGUGAAGUUCAGGAGCGCCGUGUCAGGGUAAGCGGCCGUGAAACCAGAAAGCCGGAAUCGGGAGCUUCAGUUGACAGGUUCUGAUGCUCAGGUGGCGCCGGUUAUCCCGAGAUGACAGGCUUGAAGUGAGAAGCUUCUGUGCUUUUCAUCUGCUGCUAAGUGCCUGGGAGGAGGCUUCUAACUUCGCCCGCGAGGUAAGAACCACCUCUCCGCUCACCUGCGGAAUGUCGACCUACCUCUUUGACCUCGUCUGCUGGACUCUCAUCGCCAGGAUUCAGUUCAUUGAGUCAUUGCCUGGCAUAAUUCAUGCCAUGUCAUAAUUCUGAUUCCCGAUCGUGCUUGGCCGUCCUCACUGAGCAAUUCUUGGAGGAGCAAUCCACACUUCUGAAAAAUUCUGCUGUGCUGGAAACCGCUUCUAAUACAGAGGCUAAAGCGGGGAAUCAAAGGCCAUUUCAGUUUCGCUAAUCAGUUGGAUAAAUGGUGGCCGAGGUCCUCCCCUUAUAACACUUCCUCCAUUUUUGAGAUGCCCUGUUGUGAGAGACCACCCUGUCUGUCCAGCGGCAAUAUCAGGGUCAGCGCGAGUCUUCCUGAAUCCAAGCCAUGCGAUCCUGUGAGUGUUGUUAAAAGAAUUCAGAGUGCUGAAACUGCGUUUGCUUGAUUGCUGGACGCUGCACAGAGAUGGACUCAAUCCAUCUCGAUAAAGAGCAACUGUGUCCUCAGACCCUACGGAGGUUCUGGAAACAUGGAUGCCCAUUAUAGUAAAUUCCCAGUUAUGGGUUAUCAGGGUGAAAGAGCAAAACAUUGCAGAGAAAUAUCAGUGGAUUCAGAGCUAGUUAAAAAAAAAAAAAAGGAAGAAAAACCUCAUUUUGACCAUUAACAUGUACAGAUUUUUAACAUUUCCCCUGAGUAAUGCUAACUAUCCAUUAUUUAAAGUAAAAAACUAAAAGGAAAGAAAUAACAUGACACUAAGUAAUAUAAAAAUAGAUUUUUUUUUUUUUAUAACAUUCUGGUUUGAAAUGUAGUUCUUGUUGAACAAAGGCUAUUUUCAGAAGAGCACAGACAGGCAGAAGGGCAAACACAGACAAGGCCCCUGGUUGUCGUUUGCGUCUCCGCUCGGGAUGGACAGUGUGACUGAAAGCAGUGUGGAGAGGAGAGGGUUGACUUGGAUUACAGGUUACGGUUGUCUCGGAGGGAACCAAAGCAGCGACUCAAAGCAGGAACCAGAGGCAGGAACGGAAGCGGAGACCAUGUAGGGAUGCGCCCUUUGGGCUUCCUUCCUCCGGCUUGCUCAGUUAGUUACCUUUCUUAUACAGCUCAGGCCCACCCGCUCAGGGAUGGCAGCACCCACAGUGAGCUGGGUGCUCCUGCGUCAGUGAGCAAUCAAGAAAAUGCCCAUCCGGCCAACGUGAGGGAAGCCAUUCCCGACCCGAGCGUAUGUCUGGGUUUGUGUCAAAUUGGCAAAAACUCAUCAGCACAAACUUCCAGCUGAUUAUUGUAAUAACCAUGCAGUUUAGAAAUCAUCCGGUUCAUUUACCUUCGGAUUUUUUUUUCUUCCACAACACAACACUCAAAAUGAAGCCAGUGAAAGUUAGUAUGUAGUAGUUUUUAAACUUUAAAAAUAUGUAGAGAAUAAUUGUAAAUUACUGUAUUUAAAAAUGUACCUUACAUUUAUUUUAACAUGUAAACCCACAAUAUGUACAGAAGACUGUAGUUAUUAUA